CACGUAGGGUGCGAGCGUUGUCCGGAAUUAUUGGGCGUAAAGAGCUCGUAGGCGGUGUGUCGCGUCGGCCGUGAAAACCUGCAGCUUAACUGUGGGCUUGCGGUCGAUACGGGCAUCACUGGAGUUCGGCAGGGGAGACUGGAAUUCCUGGUGUAGCGGUGAAAUGCGCAGAUAUCAGGAGGAACACCGGUGGCGAAGGCGGGCCUCUGGGCCGAUACUGACGCUGAGGAGCGAAAGCGUGGGGAGCGAACAGG
rnacentral:rRNA from 1 species